rnacentral:rRNA from 1 species
UACGUAGGCGGAAAAUUAAGUCAGUAGUGAAAUCCUGCAGCUUAACUGUAGAACUGUUAUUGAUACUGGUUUUCUUGAAUAUAGUUGAGGUAGGCGGAAUGUGUAAUGUAGCGGUGAAAUGCUUAGAUAUUACACAGAACACCGAUUGCGAAGGCAGCUUACUAAGCUAUGAUUGACGCUGAGGUACGAAAGCGUGGGGAGCGAACAGUAUUAGAUACCCUGGUAGUCC